rnacentral:rRNA from 1 species
UACGGAGGGGGCUAGCGUUGUUCGGAAUUACUGGGCGUAAAGCGCGCGUAGGCGGACCUGCAAGUCGGGGGUGAAAGCCCGAGGCUCAACCUCGGAACUGCCUUCGAUACUGCGGGUCUCGAGUCCGGGAGAGGUGAGUGGAAUUCCUAGUGUAGAGGUGAAAUUCGUAGAUAUUAGGAAGAACACCAGGUGGCGAAGGCGGCUGCCGCUAGGCCCGGUACUGACGCC